rnacentral:tRNA from 5 species
GCCCGCUUAGCUCAAUGGGAGAGCGACGGUUUUACACACCGUAUACGGGGGUUCGAUUCCCUCAGUGGGUAC